rnacentral:lncRNA from 1 species
CCCAUAAUAAAGUUAUUUUUAUUUGGAUGUCCUUUUCCAUGACUUUGUAAUAUUAAUUAUAGUCAUCAUCAGCCCUAAAUAAAUAGUAAACUUGAAGAGCAUAUGGAUGUUUCAAAAGUAAAAGCUAUAGUGUAUGAGUGACAAACUAUGAGGACAGCAUUAUAAUAAACAAUGCAGUCAGCGGCCUAUGCCAACCAUGACACAGUUCAAUCCCUUGGGUCUAUCAGUCAAACCUCCUGAAGAGAAUUUAAGUCUGGAGAUGUCAUCAGGAUGUCCUGGUCCAUUCGGGCUGCUAUAACAGAAUACCAUAGAUUAGUUGGCUUAUAAAAAACAGAAAUGUAUUUCUCACUGCUUGGAAGACUGGGAAGUCCAAGACCAAGGUGCCAGUAGAUUUGAUGCCUGGUGAUGACCUGAAACUUUGUUCAUAAAUGGGUAUCUUUUGACUGUGUCCUCAUUUGGCAGAACUGGGCUAGCUAAGCUUCAAGGGUCUUUUCUAUAAGGGUACUAAUCUCAUUCAGGAGGGCUCUGUUCUCAUGACUACCUUCCAAAGGCCCUGCCUGCUAAUACUAUCACCUUGAGGACUAGGAUAUGAUCAUAUGCAUUUCGGGGGACACAAAUAUUCAGAACACAACAUGCAGUAAUUUAAAGAGAAGCAAAAUCCUGGCGUCAAGGUUACCUGGUGAAUUGUUUCCAAGUCCUACUAAAUCACAGCUGUAGGAUGGGAGUUCAACUUGGGCCUGGGUAAGCAUCAAACUAAUUGCAGAAACUUAGACUGGCACAGACUUGGGGGUGCUCUUUGAAAAGUGAAUACUGUUAUCAGGUAAUUCACUUGCAUGGCAUGUUACAGGUUCUGAAAAACCAAUCAAUGAUCAGCUUAAUUUUGUUCAAUCUAGUAUUUGAUUAGUUUUUUUUUUACAUGCUGCACCCAUGGCAAAUAUAAGUUCCCAGGCUAGGGGUCAAAUUGGAGCUGCAGUUACCAGCCUACACCACAACCACAGCAACACCAGAUCCAAGCCACAUCUGCAACCUACACCACAGUUCACCUCAAUGCUGGAUCCCUGACCCACUGAGUGAGGCCAGAGAUUGAACCCACAUCCUCAGGGAUACUAAUCAGAUUAGUUUCAACUGUGCCACAACAGGAACUCCUGGUAAGAGCAUCUUUUUUUUCAAGAAAUACUAACAACUCACAUAAAUCAAUAUUCUAGGGCAUUUUAUUUAGCAAUUACUAUUUUUAGAAAUUUGGGGAUAAUUUGGUAACAUAUAUAAGAAAAUAUAAUCUUUGGAGUUCUGGCUGUGGCUCAGCAUUGCUGUGGCUGUGGCUGGCAGCUGAAGCUCCGAUUUGAGACCUAGCCUGUGAACCCCCCAUAUGCUGCAAGUGUGGCCCUAAAUUUUAUAUAUACACACACACACACAAAAUCUUAAAAUGGACACAGGUCAACUUGAUCUUUCUCAAUAAUUUCUAGACACAUUUUUAUAUUGUUGUCCCUAAUGGUAAAAUGGAUAACCUGAACACUUUUAAUCUAAUGUGGUAUCUAAUUGGCUUAUUCUGCUAGGAGACACAGAUGAAAUAAUACUACUUUUAAAACUACAGGAGUUUCCUGAUGGCUCAAUGGGUUAAGGAUGCUGAUGCAGUUGACACUGCAGUGGCUGAGGUCGCUGCUGUGGUAGUUUGUUCCCUGGCCCAGGAACUUCUGAAUGCUGCAGGGCAUGGCCAAAAAAAAAGUAGAAAUGAAUACAAUUUAAAAAGUAAAAGAGUUUCCCCUGUGGCUCAGUGGAUUACGAACCUGAUUAGUAUCCAUAAUGAUGUGGGUUUGAUUCCGGGCCUCGCUCAGUGGGUUAAAAGAUCUAGCAUUGCUGUAAGGUGCGGUGUAGGUUGCAGAUGCAGUUUGGAUCUGGCGUGGCUAUGGUAGAGGCCGGCAGCUGCAGCUCCAAUUUGACUCCUAGCCUGAGAACUUCCAAUAUGCUGCAGGUGCAGCCCUAAAAAGUGGGGGGGGGGAGUUGAAAAAUUUUUCCUCUCCAAUUUCCCAUUAAAAUCAGAAGAUACUUGGAGUUCCCAUUAUGACUCAGGGGGUAAAGGAUCCCAUGUCAUCUAUAUCCCUGGCCUUGCUCAGUGGGUUAAGGACCCAGUGUUGAUGCAAGAUGCAGUGUAUGUCACAGAUGCAGCUCAGAUCUGGUGUUGCUGUGACUGCGGUGUUGGCUGCAGCUUCAGCUCCAAUUUGACCCCGUGGCCCGGGAACUUCUAUAUGCUGCAGGUGUGGCAGAUUAAAAAAAAGGGGGGGGGAUUACAAAAAAAAGAAGAUACUUUUAAUUUUGAAAAGCCUGCUACAAGUUCCUGUCAUGGCACAGUGGAAACAAACCCGACUAGGAACCAUAAGGUUGCAGGUUCGAUCCCUGACCUUGCUCAUGGGUUAAGGAUCUGGUGUUGCAAGGUGCAGCAUAGG